AGGACGAACGCUGGCGGUGUGCUUCACACAUGCAAGUCGAACGAGGUAGCAAUACCUAGUGGCGGACGGUGAGUAACGCGUGGGAAUCUGCCUUGAGAGUGGGGAUAACGAGCCGAAAGGCUCGCUAAUACCGCAUAUGCCGAAAGGUGAAAGGAGUAAUCCGUCUUAAGAUGAGCCCGCGUCCGAUUAGCUAGUUGUGGGGUAAAGGCCUACCAAGGCGACGAUCGGUAGCUGGUCUGAGAGGAUGAUCAGCCACAAUGGGACUGAGACACGGCCCAUACUCCUACGGGAGGCAGCAGUGGGGAAUUUUACGCAAUGGGGGAAACCCUGACGUAGCGACACCGCGUGAGCGAAGAAGCCCUUUGGGGUGUAAAGCUCUGUCAGCUGGAACGAAAAAAAUGACGGUACCAGCAGAGGAAGCAUCGGCUAACUACGUG
rnacentral:rRNA from 1 species